UUUUUUUUUUUUUUUUUUUUUUUUUUUUUUUUUUUUUUUUC
rnacentral:ribozyme from 1 species